AAUGCCCGCAAGGGUGAUCCAGCCAUCCCGCGUGCAGGAAGACUGCCCUAUGGGUUGUAAACUGCUUUUAUCAGGGAAGAAACCCCUUGACUUGUUAAGGGUUGACGGUACCUGAUGAAUAAGCACCGGCUAACUCCGUGCCAGCAGCCGCGGUAAUACGGAGGGUGCAAGCGUUAUCCGGAAUCACUGGGUUUAAAGGGUGCGUAGGCGGCUUAAUAAGUCAGAGGUGAAAGACUACAGCUUAACUGUGGCACUGCCUUUGAUACUGUUGAGCUGGAAUCAGGUUGAAGUUAGUGGAAUGCGGCAUGUAGCGGUGAAAUGCAUAGAUAUGUCGUAGAACACCGAUUGCGAAGGCAGCUAACUGGGCUUGAAUUGACGCUGAGGCACGAAAGCGUGGGGAUCGAA
rnacentral:rRNA from 1 species